CACUCGCUUUCUCUGGCUUUUGGCGGCCUCGUCUAUAAAGUGAGGUUGAGUUCGUGACUUAUUUCUAAAGUCCACUUAUUCUCAUAUCCAGUGAUUUGCAUUGGCAAGAGUAUUAAAGUCAUACGGUCAUGUACUCAGUCAGCUUGUGUGCGUCAUCCUCUGUGUGCAGGGCUGGUCUAGCCGCCACGGGGACCCCAGCCACGUGUCACCCAAAGGCCUGCCCUCCUGCAGCAGCCCCCCAUCCAGGGGGCGGAAAUACCGCACAGCGCACCUGCUGAUCCCUGGGAUAACCAGUACCCAAAGAGAUCAGGUGAAUCUGGCAGCUGAGGUGGGCCUUGCAGUUUCUGGUUCUCUCCUCCCUGCCCCGACGAAGGACACUUGGAGAAUGUCCAGAAAAGCAGGAAGCACCCAGCGAUGGUUUGAGCUGCGGCUCUGAAACCCAGCAUCGAAGAGAGCUGCUGUGACUGGCUAUGUGACCUCACUCAAGCAUGCUGUCCCUCCCUCACCUCCAUCUCCGUGUCUGUGGUAAUGAACCCCACACCACCCCUGGUGGCUGCAUCCCCAGGACCUGGGAGAACUGAUGAGCUGGGCGGUCAGCUGCUCCUUGUCCGAGUCUGGGACUGCAGGUCCUCUCAUAGGAAAGCUUGUGGUUAAGUGUGUCUAUAUGAGUGUGGUUUCUUUCAGGUCCUCACUUUAUUAUCCUUGCUUAAUACAUGCCCAUAAUAUUGCUUCAUAUCAGCACAUUAGUACCUCUUUCUCUGAUAUUGUGCAUAUUAGUGAAGUUUCACUGAGUUGUUACGAAGCACUGAGGACUGUACAUCUAACAGAAAGCUAAACUGGCAAACCACUACUCACCCAGCGGUUUAUCUGGGGCAGGAAGAUACCCUGGAGAAGGAAAUGGCAGCCCACUUCCUGACGGUGGGGAAAAAUUCCAUGGACAGAGGAGCCUGGAAGGCUGCAGACCAUAGGGGU